AGUGGAAUUGCUGGGUCAUAUGGUAACUGUUUAAUUUUUUGAGGAACUGCCAAACUGUUUUCCAAAGUGGCUGCACUAUUUUACAUUUCUAUCGGUGGU
rnacentral:pre_miRNA from 1 species